UCCCUGGUGGUCCAGUGGUUAGGACUCAGCAUUUUCACUGCUGGGGCCCAGGUUUGAUCCCUGGUCAGAGAA